GUGCCAGCCGCCGCGGUAAUACCGGCAGCCCGAGUGAUGGCCGAUCUUAUUGGGCCUAAAGCGUCCGUAGCCGGCCGGACAAGUCCGUUGGUAAAUCUGCGCGCUUAACGCGCAGGCGUCCAGCGGAAACUGUCCGGCUUGGGGCCGGAAGAUCCGAGGGGUACGUCCGGGGUAGGAGUGAAAUCCUGUAAUCCUGGACGGACCGCCGGUGGCGAAAGCGCCUCGGGAGGACGGACCCGACAGUGAGGGACGAAAGCCAGGGUCUCGAACCGGAUUAGAUACCCGGGUAGUCC
rnacentral:rRNA from 1 species